rnacentral:misc_RNA from 1 species
AACGCACCUUGCACUCCUUGGUAUUCUGAGGAGUAUGCCUGUUUGAGUGUCAUUAAAUUCUCAAACCUUUUUCCUUCUUGGAAAGAUGGUUUGGAUCUUGAGAGUUUGCUGGUUUUUGUCAAAAUCAGCUCUCUUUAAAUUUAUUAGCAGAUUUGGCCUUUUGUUCCACAUUCUCAAUUGAUGUGAUAGGUUAUCUACAUCUCUAGAGAUUGAAAUUAUCUGCUUAUAACUGUCUCUUUUUAGGGGACGCUUUGACAAUUUGACCUCAAAUCAGGUAGGACUACCCGCUGAACUUAA